ensembl:lncRNA LINC02086 long intergenic non-protein coding RNA 2086
CACAUAUGAGUUGGUUUUCCUUACUUAAAAUAUGCUUAUCAUCCCUUGGAGCACUUGAAAAUAUUGGCUAUUUCCUUCUGACCCCCAUGGUUUCUUUUAAAAAAUUUGCUGUUGUUUGAAUUAUUUUUCUCUACAGGUAUUGACUGCUGCCUCAUGAAGGCUGGUCCUGUCUCUAUAGUGAAUAUUGUGCACCUCAGGGUAGAAUGGAGAGCAGAAGACUUCAAAUCAGGCAGUCUGGGUUCAGACCCCAAUUCUAGUGCUAAAUAGCUACGUGACUUUAGGCCGAUUGUGUGUGACUUCCCUGAGCCCCAGUCUCUUUGCCUGCAAAAUGAGAAAAAUUAUAACAAUGUCAUCGGUUGUUCUGAGGAUUCUGAGAGGAAUUAGUAGGAGAGAGAACUAAGAAGCUGCGGGCCUCUACAGAGCCAUUCAACUGGCAUUUCGGAAGAUGUUGCCCAUCAGAGUCAGACCUUCUUAGCAUCUUCCGGCUGGGCCCAAACUUCCCAAGACCAUUUGGACAAGGUCAUCUCUAUCCCACCAUGGCCUCCUCCCAGAGGAGGAGAAGAAUCAUGCUGUUACAGCAGAACCGAAGAUUUGGGCAAGGGAGCUAAUGAUUAUGUUCUGCGUCAGGUCAGAGAUGGGCUGGGAAAGCCACUCCAAAGCCAAGACAAGCAGUUUCCUGGAAAAAGAAGGCUGCGCGGAGCCCAGAGUGGCCUGGAUCCUGCCUCAUUUCCUGGACCAGCUCCUUAGGUGGUUACUGGAUUGCCAAUAAAGCAGAGCUUAUUAAAGUCAACGAGCUCAGGCUUCAUCGCCGCCAUGGUAUCCAAGCACCAGUCUGUCUGGGAUUUCAUUUGCCAGAUGGACAAAGGAGAGGUUGUUCCAAUACAUAUCCUGAGUGGUGGGGGUGGGGAGAGAAGGGGAAGAAUGCUCUCUAGAGAAUUCUCUUUGUCCUCUGAAGUAAAUAGAGAUCAUGUCUUCCCCAGCCACACUCAGUGAUCUGAAUCUCUUGGACUGUGGAUUUUUCCUUUACCUGCUGUGAAGCCUUGAAAAGUAUGAAUUAGCUUGAUAAUGAUCCUCUAAAGAUGUUCAAGAGUUAAAGACGUGUUUAAGUUCUUCAGGCAAUCCAAUAUGACUACGGGUUUCCAAAAAUUUGAAGGAAACUGAAAAUCAUAGUUCCCAAACCAGAUAUUUUCCGGUGUCCAGAUGUUCACUGGCAUGCAAACCAAAUGUCUGGAUUAUGAGCUCCUUUUUUCAUUUCUUUUUAUCAGCUUACAUCCAGAUGUUGGAUCCAACUGGUCAGAGGCCUGGGGCAGAGACAGAAAUCAAAUCUAGGGUGUUCAUCUAGAGUCUCCUGCUCCUCCAUUCCUGCUUCCUCCUCACGCUGCCCCCACAUCCUCCCCAACUCACCUUCAUGCUACAUCUCGGCAAAUACAGCUCAUAUCCAGGCACGGUGCAGCCCUUGACAGCUGGGUCCGCAAAGGCAGAUCGGGUAUAUCUUUAAAGAAAAGUUAUCUUAACCAUUGAGAAGCCUUCCUUCCUCAGAGGAGAGCACCUCCCCAGCAGACCUCCGAGGAGACCAAGGGCAGGACAGGAAGGGUGAAAGGAAGUUUCAGGACUGCAGGAAAUAAGAGCUUGGAGGUCAAGGGAGAGAUCAGAUAAAACAUGAAUCUGAUCAGCAUCCUAGUGGUCUAGAGUGGAGACAAUCUGCGGAGUCAACCUCAGUAAGGACACACAUAGAGAAGAACCAAAGCCUCUAAAGACGAAGCUGAGAAGUGUACGGUCGUAGAAGACUCGUGUCUGUUAUUCUUAAAAGCUCAAGGAGAUGUUCUGCCAAUUGAAUGGAAACUGUCCAUAGUGGGGAGCAGAGAGCCUCAUCUUUUCUGGAACUGAACAUCCAUCCUUAAGGCCAGAUUUCUCCCAUCACCAACUUUAACUCCUGCCCUAGCCCUCUCUCUUCCUUUUCAAAACCCUCUCCACCCAGGAAGGGAGAUUCUGGAGCCAAGACUGUACCAGCCACACCUCCCCAGAGUUGUUAAGGAAGGAACUCGAAGCCAGGGGUGGUCUUCUGGCAAGCACCCCCACUACCAGUAGCAG